rnacentral:rRNA from 1 species
UACGAGGGGGGCAAGCGUUGUUCGGAAUUAUUGGGCGUAAAGGGUGCGUAGGCGGUCUGAUAAGUCAUCUGUGGAAUCUAUGGGCUCAACCCAUAGUCUGCAGGCGAAACUGUCGGGCUUGAGUAUGGGAGAGGUGAGUGGAAUUUCCGGUGUAGCGGUGAAAUGCGUAGAUAUCGGAAGGAACACCUGUGGCGAAAGCGGCUCACUGGACCAUUACUGACGCUGAUGCACGAAAGCUAGGGGAGCAAACAGG